rnacentral:rRNA from 1 species
GACAGAGGAGGCGAGCGUUAUCCGGAGUCAUUGGGCGUAAAGGGUACGUAGGCGGCUAGUCAAGUCUGAGGUUAAAGACCACAGCUUAACUGUGGAAAGGCCUUGGAAACUGACUGGCUAGAGUGGGGCAGGGGUUGCGGGAAUUCCCGGUGUAGCGGUGAAAUGCGUAGAUAUCGGGAAGAACACCUGAGGCGAAAGCGCGCAACUGGGCCCUGACUGACGCUGAGGUACGAAAGCUAGGGGAGCGAAUGGG